GAUGAACGCUAGCUACAGGCUUAACACAUGCAAGUCGAGGGGUAACAUUUAGGGAGCUUGCUUCCUUUGAUGACGACCGGCGAAUGGGUGAGUAACGCGUAUCCAACCUGCCCCCGGCUGGGGUAUAACCCGUCGAAAGGCGGCCUAAUCCCCCAUGGUGUCUUCUGAGGUCAUCCGAUGAGGACUAAAGGUAUUUUUUUCCGGCCGGGUGAUGGGGAUGCGUCCGAUUAGCUUGCUGGUGAGGUAACGGCUCACCAGGGCAUCGAUCGGUAGGGGUUCUGAGAGGAAGGUCCCCCACACUGGUACUGAGACACGGACCAGACUCCUACGGGAGGCAGCAGUGAGGAAUAUUGGUCAAUGGGCGCAAGCCUGAACCAGCCAAGUAGCGUGCAGGAUGAAGGCCCUAUGGGUCGUAAUCUGCUUUUAUGUGGGGAUAAAUUCAAUCACGUGUGAUUGUUUGCAGGUACCACA
rnacentral:rRNA from 1 species